AGCUCCAAUAGCGUAUAUUAAAGUUGUUGCAGUUAAAAAGCUCGUAGUUGGAUUUGUGGCAAACGGUGAGCUCCCAUCACUAUUGGUGUUGGUGUUGCACAUCGUUGCCAUCCUUGGGUGGAAUCUGUGUGGCAUUAGGUUGUCGUGCAGGGGAUGCCCAUCGUUUACUGUGAAAAAAUUAGAGUGUUCAAAGCAGGCUUAUGCCGUUGAAUAUGUUAGCAUGGAAUAAUAAGAUAGGACCUCGGUACUAUUUUGUUGGUUUGCGUAUGGAGGUAAUGAUUAAUAGGAACAAAUGGGGGUAUUCGUAUUCCACUGUCAGAGGUGAAAUUCUUGGAUUUUUGGAAGACGAACUACUGCGAAAGCAUUUACCAAGGAUGUUUUCAUUAAUCAAGAACGAAAG
rnacentral:rRNA from 1 species